rnacentral:rRNA from 1 species
AGUGAACGCUGGCGGUAGGCCUAACACAUGCAAGUCGAACGGCAGCACAGUAAGAGCUUGCUCUUACGGGUGGCGAGUGGCGGACGGGUGAGGAAUACAUCGGAAUCUACUUUUUCGUGGGGGAUAACGUAGGGAAACUUACGCUAAUACCGCAUACGACCUACGGGUGAAAGCAGGGGAUCUUCGGACCUUGCGCGAUUGAAUGAGCCGAUGUCGGAUUAGCUAGUUGGCGGGGUAAAGGCCCACCAAGGCGACGAUCCGUAGCUGGUCUGAGAGGAUGAUAGGCCACACUGGAACUGAGACACGGUCCAGACUCCUACGGGAGGCAGCAGUGGGGAAUAUUGGACAAUGGGCGCAAGCCUGAUCCAGCCAUACCGCGUGGGUGAAGAAGGCCUUCGGGUUGUAAAGCCCUUUUGUUGGGAAAGAAAAGCAGCAGGUUAAGACCCCGCUGUUCUGACGGUACCCAAAGAAUAAGCACCGGCUAACUUCGUG